rnacentral:rRNA from 1 species
GGAAUAUUGCGCAAUGGGGGCAACCCUGACGCAGCAACGCCGCGUGGAGGAUGAAGGUCUUUGGAUUGUAAACUCCUUUUCUUGGGGAAGAGAACGGACGGUACCCGAGGAAUAAGUCACGGCUAACUACGUGCCAGCAGCCGCGGUAAUACGUAGGUGGCAAGCGUUAUCCGGAAUUAUUGGGCGUAAAGCGCACGCAGGCGGCCUGUUAAGUUUGACGUGAAAACUCCUAGCUUAACUGGGAGAGGACGUUGAAGACUGGCAGGCUUGAGGUAAUGAGAGGGGUGCGGAAUUCCCGGUGUAGUGGUGGAAUGCGUAGAUAUCGGGAGGAACACCAGUGGCGAAAGCGGCACCCUGGCAUUGACCUGACGCUCAGGUGCGAAAGCGUGGGGAGCGAAC